rnacentral:rRNA from 1 species
UACGAAGGGGGCUAGCGUUGUUCGGAAUCACUGGGCGUAAAGAGCGUGUAGGCGGCCACGCAGGUCCGUUGUGAAAACUGAAGGCUCAACCUCCAGACGUCGACGGAAACCGUAUGGCUAGAGUCCGGAAGAGGAGAGUGGAAUUCCUGGUGUAGCGGUGAAAUGCGCAGAUAUCAGGAAGAACACCAAUGGCGAAGGCAGCUCUCUGGGACGGUACUGACGCUGAGACGCGAAAGCGUGGGGAGCGAACAGG